UGGGGAAUAUUGCACAAUGGGGGAAACCCUGAUGCAGCAACGCCGCGUGAGCGAUGAAGGCCUUUGGGUCGUAAAGCUCUGUCCUUGGGGAAGAAACAAAUGACGGUACCCUUGGAGGAAGCCCCGGCUAACUCCGUGCCAGCAGCCGCGGUAAUACGGAGGGGGCAAGCGUUAUCCGGAAUUAUUGGGCGUAAAGGGUACGUAGGUGGUUCUUUAAGCGCAGGGUUUAAGGCAAUGGCUCAACCAUUGUUCGCCCUGCGAACUGGAGAACUUGAGUGCAGGAGAGGAAAGCGGAAUUCCUAGUGUAGCGGUGAAAUGCGUAGAUAUUAGGAGGAACACCAGUGGCGAAGGCGGCUUUCUGGACUGUAACUGACACUGAGGUACGAAAGCGUGGGGAGCAAACAGG
rnacentral:rRNA from 2 species